CUCGCGUGUAGCGGCGGCGGCGGCGUCUCCGUGAGGAGGCGCGCGGGGCCAUGACGUCAGCGUCCACAAAGGUCGGAGAGAUCUUCUCGGCGGCCGGCGCCGCCUUCACGAAGCUCGGGGAGCUGACGAUGCAGCUGCAUCCCGUGGCCGACUCUUCUCCUGCGGGUGGACGGAGACGGAAAUAGAGAUGCUGAGGGCUGCUGUGAAGCGAUUUGGGGACGAUCUUAAUCACAUCAGCUGUGUCAUCAAGGAACGGACAGUGCCACUGUGAAACGCAAGGUAUAUGAAGAUUCUGGCAUCCCCCUUCCAGCUGAGUCACCCAAGAAAGGGCCCAAGAAGGUGGCAUCUGGUGUCUUGUCACCUCCUCCAGCUGCCCCUCCUCCCAGCAGCUCCAGUGUCCCUGAGGCCGGGGGUCCCCCCAUAAAGAAACAGAAGGCUGAUGUGACACUCAGUGCUCUGAACGACUCCGAUGCCAACAGUGACGUGGUGGAUAUUGAAGGGCUAGGAGAAACUCCUCCAGCUAAGAAACUCAACUUCGACCAGGACAGCCUGACCCUGGAUUCUGGCCUUCUCAUGACCUCUGCUGAUCCUCCUCUCCUCUCCUGCUGAGCCUUCCACCUCUGACCUCUCACUGUUCAUGCCGGACCUGUGGAUCUCCUGGGACUCCGAGCAAGGCCUGCACGAGAGAGGGCUGAAAGGCUGCUGGGGCUGCCACCUCGCUAUUCCCGCAUAAGCAUCUGCCCCCAACCCCUUUGACCUUCAUCUGAUGGACAUUUUUAUACAGAAAACAAUAAAGAUUUCC
rnacentral:lncRNA from 1 species